rnacentral:lncRNA from 10 species
AAAAAAAAAAAAGAAGGCAGAAAAACUGAUACAGAGGGAUCGCAAGGGCAUAAUAUUAACUGAAAAAAUUAAAGUGCAAUGGACAAUGUCUUUCUUCAUGUAAGAAAUAAAUGCAUGUAAGAAAAUUGGCCGGGCACAGUGGCUCACGCCUGUAAUUCCAGCACUUUGGGAGGCUGAGGGAGGUAGAUCACUUGAGGUCAGGCGUUCUAGACCAACCUGACCAAGAUGCAAAACCCUGUCUCUACCAAAACAUACAAAAAAAAAAAAAUUACCUGCGCAUGGUGGCACGUACCUGUAGUCCCAGCUGCUCAGGAGGUUGAGGCAUGAGAAUCACCUGAACGCAGGAGGCAGAGGUUGCAGUGAGCCGAGAUUGCACCACUGCACUUGAGCCUGGGCAAAAGUAACCCUGUCUCAAAAAAAAAAAGAAAAAAGAAAAGAAAAAAAGGAAAAAGAAAAUAUACAUGUAUUUGCUAUGAGUAUAGAAUAUAGAAAAGUUAAACCAGAAGCUAAAAAUAUUGGUUCUUUAUAGUAGGUAGGUGGGGAUUUGUGCAAAAGAGACAUAGAAAGGCUAAACAAGAAACUAGAGCUUACUUACUAUGGGCAGGUGGGAAAGUGAGAGAAAGCAGCUGGGAACGGGAAUGGGGUGGUAGGAAUGAGGUACGAACAACACUUCUCCAUGUAUAUCCUUUUACAAAGCUCACACUCUGAAAACCACGUUUCACAUACUGAAAAAAUAAACCAUUAAAAUCAACCAGGCUGUGGAGAGAACGCUCAAACAGUAAAAAAAGGACCAAGAGUACAAAUCAGUCCACAGAUCAGAGAGGGUGGGAAAGAAAAGAACGUCAGUAACUUUGAAAAACUGUUUCUUGACUGAUAUAUGAGGCAAAACCCAAAAAGAAUUGCAGAACAGUGCAAUGUAGUUAAUGUGUUUCUCCUAGGGUAUGAAUUAGCUCUUCUGAAACUACAUGUAUAUUACACUGACACAACAACAAAAAAACAGUAAGUAAAUACACUGCAGACAAGAGGCAGGUUACCCAUAUUGGAAAAAAUAACAAAUAAGGAAAACCAGAAAUUAAUCCUGUGGUGUUAAAUUAGAAUCAGAAGUAUCAGUACAAAACUCAUGAGUUUUUAAUAAGCAGACACAUAAAUGUAUAUUCAUUAAUACACAUACAUAUAUUUCCCAGCUGUAUCUCCUGAAAGGCCCAAGAGGCAAUGACACCCUAUUGGCAAUUAGUAUACUUAAAUGAACAAAUGUUGGUUUCUAAAUACCAUUUUCCAAUUAAAGGAACCAGGGUUCCUUGAAGUGGUUGUUUCCAGGGCUGGGAGAGGAAAAAUAGAUGGUCCUGUAGUAUUUUGUGGUGCCAGUAAGAAAGUGUUCAAAAAAAUAUGGGAACUUGUUAAAGAACCUAGGAGUUAACUCAAAGGAGUUCCUAAUGGGCAAAUGCAGAAGAAUUUGAGCAACAAAACAAUGAUAGUAAGUAAUGAAUUUUAACCCAUAUAAUAAAAUAUCCAGGUGUCCACAGAUAUAAAUAAUCAAAUAAACUUGGAGAGAGAGGUAUGGAGGCAAAGCUUGUUAUUAUAAAAGAAUUUCAAGAAAUAAAUGUGCAAAAGAGCAAAACAGAAAAUCACCUUUAGGCAAACACCACAGCGGUAACUGUUACAGACAAGAUCCACUAAUGAAUGCAAAACUUAGCAUAAGUUGGAGGAGAAAAGAAUUUUCAUGUCUCAUGUAUCUCUCCCAAGAUAUUAACUACAAAGGGAAACAGUAAUUUUGCAGUGGAGAUACCUGGCAGACACCACCUUAACCAAGUGAUUAAGACUGAUACACCAAAAUAAGGAACUUGAAAUGACACACUAGAAUGCACCUCUUGAUAUGAUGCAUUUUCUGUGGUAUUCUCUUCAAAAUUGCAAAACCUCAAGGCAUCUGAGUACAUCAAAUAAAUCCAAACUGAGGAACAUCCUCAAAAUAUCCCACCAGUACUCUUCAAAAGUAUCAGUUAUGAAAGACAAACUGAGGAACUGUCUGAGAUUGGAGGAAAGACUAAGGAGCAGUAAGUAACAAAUAAAUGCAAGAUAGGGUCAUAGACAAGAUGUGAGGAACAGAAGAACACUAGUUCUUUUUCUAAUGGAAAAUUUGGUGGAAAAGUUGGUGAAAUUCAAGUAAGAUCUGUAAUUUAGGUCUAACGCUAUUGCACCAACAUAAAUUUCCUGAUUUGGAUAAUUAUAUUACGGUUCUAUAUUACAAUAUUGAGGGAGGCUGAAUGAAAUGAGGGUAUAUGGGAACUCUUGGUACUAUUUAGUGCAAUUUUCUGAAAGACUAAAGUUAUUAUAUUUCAAAAUAGAAAGUUUAAAAGAGAAUCUCUUGGUCUGCUGUUCUGUUUUAUAAUGGUUUAAAACAGAACAGGUAAGACAGCUUCAUUUUGUCCCAAACUUUAAUAUAAAAAAGCUAUAAUUUUAAAUUACAAUUUAAUACUCUGUUAUAAGACUGAAGCUAUGAAAUGGGGCAACACUAUUUCAUGGUCUCCAGAGCAGAACACGCAAAAAUGUGUUAUCAAACACUUUAUCUGCUUCUACUACCAUCUUGUUCUAUGAGGGAAAACCUAUCUGAAAGAUGUAACAUAGACAGGCUCAAAAUCAAGUCUGUGAACAUGAAAAAUUAUUUAAUGACACGCAUCUUGAAAUUACAAAUCUGUUAAGAACACCACAAUAGUCCUACAGUAAAGUUUGUUUCUGAGAAAAAAAUCUAGCACAGAAAGCCUCAUGUGAAUAGCAAUUCCUAACGGGAGCAUCUUUGUGUGUGUAAUUUCUGCUUUGGUUUUGGUGAGGGUUGGGGCAUGGACUGAAAGAUUUACCUACAAAAUAUAUGCAUAGUUGAUCUAAAUUUACUAAAGAACAAAUCUACAUUUUUAGGUGAUCUUUCAAAAUCAGUCCUCGGUUUGAAUUAUCCAUUAACUAGUGGGGAUGCAAGCUCGCCCCCUUGUCAUUAAAAUACAUAUUCAUAAAACUUUAAAGUUGCACUGCUCUAGUUACGAAUAGCUUCUACUUUUCUAGGACAUAAUUUCACUUUGUUUAAGAAGAAUUCAUUAAAGAAGCUAUAAAUAACCUUUAAAUAUUUAGCCAUGAAUAGAGAGGGUGGACUGGCAUUGAUGGCUUAUUUUAGUACUAAUGCAGAAUGCUUUUUAAAAGCUACAUUUUAGCAUGCAUCAAGCUAAUGAUUAACUUGUAAUGUUAUUUUCAAUGUUAGAAUAAAUUUAUUUUGAGGAAUUGUGGUAAAAGUAAAUGUGUUAUUUCAGUUAGUAGGAAAGUAGCCUUAAAGAAUGAAAAUGUUGGGAAGAUGAAACUGUAAGGAAUUUUUAUUUAAAAUGUUUAAGCAUCUAGACCUUUCCUUGUUUCCCAAAACAUAAUCCCAGUGAAACUGCAAAAACUAAGGGAGAAGUAUCUGAGGAACUGAAAGAAUUCCAGAUCUGUUGUGUGAUACAUGUAGCAUACAUAUGAAUCAAGGACAUAUCUGUACUCAAUUUUGAAUCAUAAAGUUCACAACAUUUUUGAGACCAAGUUUCAUAAAGUUUUUACUUGGAAAAAAAAGUUUUACAAAAUAUCUUUCCAAAGAAAUUUUCCCAUAGAGUACAAUUAAUUCAUGUAGCUUUCU